UCCCUGGAGGACUAGUGGUUAGGCCACAGCGCUAUCACCGCUGCAGACCGGGAUUGAUUCCCGGCCAGGGAA